AAAAGCUAUUGGUGUUGGUGUUAUACUUAUAUAGCGCUUUUCCACCUUAUCAAGGCGCUCAAAGCGCUUUACACUAUCUCACCAUUCACCUACUGGUGACACAGCACCAGGAGCAACGUGGGGUUCAGUAUCUUGCUCAAGGAUACUUAGUAAUUGAACUCACCUAAGCAGAGGAGGCAGGUGAUGACGAAGGUGUUCAUAUCCCAGGAAGACGAGCGAGUGAAAGCCAGGAAGUCUGUUCCAAGUCCGAGUCAGCGUCUGACCAUUUACUCAUUCAAUGCCAUGGAGUUUGAUCGGCUCAAUGUACCUGAAGACACGGAGGACUCAGCGUGUGUCAUCUGAAGAAUGGAUGAGAUGCUCUUUGUCAGAACAAAAGGCCACAAGAGCAUGACACCUGUUCAACACAAAAUAUGGACAGAAGAAGAGUUAUGUAAUACAAAAUGCUGACAAGACAAGACAUUGGUUUGUUUGUUGGCUGUUCUUGAGAAAUAAGA